rnacentral:rRNA from 1 species
UACGGGGGGGGCAAGCGUUGUUCGGAAUUACUGGGCGUAAAGGGCUCGUAGGCGGCCAACUAAGUCGGAUGUGAAAUCUCCGGGCUUAACCCGGAAAGGUCAAUCGAUACUGCGGGGCUAGAGUGCAGAAGGGGCAACUGGAAUUCUCGGUGUAGCGGUGAAAUGCGUAGAUAUCUGGAGGAAUACCGGUGGCGAAGGCGGCAUCCUGGGACCGACAUGACGCUGAGGAGCGAAAGCUAGGGGAGCAAACGGGG